AUUGAACGCUGGCGUCAGGCCUAACACAUGCAAGUCGAGCUUGCGGCGGACGGGUGAGUAAUGUAUGGGGACUGCCCGUUAGAGGGGGAUAUCUCCUGGACACGGUAGCUACUACCGCAUACUAUCUGGUAACCCAUAUGGGAUUAGCUAGUAGGUGGGGUAAUGGCUCACCUAGGCGACGAUCCCUAGCUGGUCUGAGAGGAUGAUCAGCCACACUGGGACGGAGACACGGCCCAGACUCCUACGGAGGCAGCAGUGGGGAAUAUUGCACAAUGGGCGCAAGCCUGAUGCAGCCAUGCCGCGUGUAUGAAGAAGGCCCUAGGGUUGUAAAGUACGUUCAGUCGGGAGGCGGUACCGACAGAAGAAGCACCGGCUAACUCCGUGCCAGCCGCCGCGGUAAUAC
rnacentral:rRNA from 1 species